CCUACGGGUGGCAGCAGUGAGGAAUAUUGGUCAAUGGCCGAGAGGCUGAACCAGCCAAGUCGCGUGAGGGAAGACGGCCCUACGGGUUGUAAACCUCUUUUGUCUGGGAACAAAACGGGUCACGUGUGACUCCUUGAGAGUACCCGAUGAAAAAGCAUCGGCUAACUCCGUGCCAGCAGCCGCGGUAAUACGGAGGAUGCGAGCGUUAUCCGGAUUUAUUGGGUUUAAAGGGUGCGCAGGCGGAUGUGAAAGUCAGCGGUCAAAUUGCGGGGCUCAACCCCGUACUGCAGUUGAAAAUGCAAGCCUUGAGUGCGCGAGAGGUAUGCGGAAUGCGUGGUGUAGCGGUGAAAUGCAUAGAUAUCACGCAGAACUCCGAUUGCGAAGGCAGCAUACCGGCGCGCAACUGACGCUGAUGCACGAAAGCGUGGGUAUCGAACAGGGUUAGAUACCCGAGUAGUC
rnacentral:rRNA from 1 species